rnacentral:rRNA from 1 species
CGGGGUUGGUGCAGUGAUCGUGCAGGUUCAAGUGCUGCCAAAGGUGCCGACGGGAAGACGGAGAUCGUCCCUCGACGUCCACCNGAGGCAGCGUCGUACUCCUUGCACGGACACGGACCAGCAGCAGUUGCGCCGGAGCCACAAGGCAGCGUGGAAGGUGAGUCGAUGCGAGCUUGUYUCRYGUYGACAGCUUACAGACUCGCUGGCCGGAGUGCCGGUGCGACUGAGGAACAAGGGCAGCCCCUGCCCGCCGUGGUGCACGCCGAAYGGCGGGGCCUCCCAACAYGAGCGAGCCGUGCGGUCUGGACUGCAUGCAGUGCUGCCACCGUGGCGGCRAACYCGUGUUGGUGAGUGCCACCUGUGCACCAGUGCUGCUGGUAUUCAGACGGCCCCGUCCGA